rnacentral:misc_RNA from 1 species
AGAGCAACCUGAUUUAAAGUGAUUUUGGUCAGUUGGCGAUCCGAGUAUGUGAUAUGUCCUCCAGCACCCUAGGUUACAUUGUGAAACUCCACGACAGUGAACACACCAGUGUAGAUCUUAGCAGCAAUUUGGUGAAAUUGAGUUCCUUCAUUUUUCCAGUCACUUGUCUGAUCACGCUUCUGUCUGAUCAUGUGACUCAUUGACGUAUUACUCAACCAUGGCCUCAACUAGGACAGUUAAUAAAUUAUUAGAAAAUGUUUUGCGGACAUUUGCUAAUGAAUAUAAAAGAGGAUAUUCUGCGGUAAGGAGGUCAAACAUUAUAGGAAGGGCUGCUAAAGCCACUGGGUAUUCAGGAGCAGCUUUCUACAAAAUACUACGUGAAGAUACAGAAUUGAAAUCAUUCCUCAAUGAGGCAAAGGCAGUGGGAAAUGAACGUGAAAAAUUACAGGCCACUAAGCGUAGACGUCCAUUUGGAAGCUCGGCACCAGUAGAUGAACAUGGAUUAGAUGAAAAACCGCUGUGUUCAUGGAGUGAUCAAAUUAUAGUUGAUGGCCCAUUAACCUCAACUGAAAGCCAUUUCAAGUCAGGGAAUGUUACCAUCCCAAGAAAAAAAAGAAAAAGAAGGAAGAAACUUCAAUCUGACCCAACUGAAAGCCAUCUCCAGACAGUGAAUGAAAUCAUCCCAAAGAAAAGAAGGAAGAUACUUCCACCUGGGCCAAGAGUACGCCCACCAAGUGAGAGAAUCAAGGCCCGUAAAGCACAAGCAGAACCAGAAGUAAAUGUACCUCCGCCACAAGAUCAACAUGUUGAAAAAGAGCCUCAAUCUUUACCACCACAGGCUCAAAAUCUUGAAGCAGAGCUGCAAGGUUUACCACCAGAGGCUCAAAAUGUUGAAAUAGACCUUCAGGCAUCACCACAGGUUCAUGCAGGUCAACCUGAAGUCAUAGAUUGGUAUACUGGAGCAUCCGUCAGGAAUGUGAUCUUGGAAGGGUUCAAGGCAGGGACGUUUUUCACUGUCAAGACCCUCAACAAGGAACUAAAAAGCCGUGGAAUCUGCAAUAUUAGCCGGACAACACUUAGGGAAGCUUUAAAGGCUGAUGAUUUUAGGUUUAAGAGAUGUGGAAUGAACACAUUUAUACUACUAGACGAGUCACACAUUGCAGCAGAAGCGUAUCCUCCCCAAUUGUUCCUGUAACCUCCUUCUUUUCUGGAAGGGCGAGCGGCUAGAAAUAGUCAGACCUAAUAAACCUCCCAAGGAAUAUGUACCAGACAGUUGUCGGAGGCUGGGUGUCGGAUUAUCUGACUCCCUCAAUACCACUGCGUAACAGGUGAAAUAACAUGGCCGAGGUGUGACGGCUACUUGAAUCUCAUUGUCGCUUUCCACUGGGUCUGGAGAACCCAUGGUAUAAAAGGACAAUUUGUUUCUCCAUUCAUAUGUGGAGUUUCAUGGCCCGGUGUUAAGUCCAGGGACCCAAUCAGAACGCUCUGCUUCGUCACGUGGAACAAAUAUUGAAAAUGUCAAAACGGACUGAAUAAAUAUCACAUCGUUGAUUGGCUGAUUGGUUUUGUGGCGUCACACAAAACUCUGCGGGCAACUGCCAGGAGGAGGAAUAUUGAGAGUGAACUCAGCUGGGGUUUAUUUACAUAGUGGUCAGUUAAAUCGGGCAGAUUUAUCAAAUAAUUAUUAUCAAAGGCAUGGCCUAGUUGUAGCUUGUAAAAUUUAAUAGAAUAUAAUAGCAAAGAAAUCCAUGAGAUGUUGUUACAAUAUAAAUACAGUGAAACCUCUGAAGUGGAACACCUCUAGCAAUGGAACACCUCUUAAGUGGAACACCUCUGUAAGUGGAACACCUCUAGAAGUGAAACACCUC